rnacentral:rRNA from 1 species
CAGCAGCCACGGGAAUACGGAGGGAGCUAGCGUUGUUCGGAAUUACUGGGCGUAAAGCGCACGUAGGCGGCUUUGUAAGUCAGAGGUGAAAGCCUGGAGCUCAACUCCAGAACUGCCUUUGAGACUGCAUCGCUUGAAUCCAGGAGAGGUGAGUGGAAUUCCGAGUGUAGAGGUGAAAUUCGUAGAUAUUCGGAAGAACACCAGUGGCGAAGGCGGCCCGCUGGACAUGUAUUGACGCUGGGGUGCGAAAGCGUGGGGAGCAAACAGGAUUAGAUACCCCUGUAGUCCCUGUCUCUUAUAC